GGGGAAUAUUGCACAAUGGGGGAAACCCUGAUGCAGCAACGCCGCGUGGAGGAAGAAGGUUUUCGGAUUGUAAACUCCUGUCUUUUGGGACGAUAAUGACGGUACCAAAAGAGGAAGCCACGGCUAACUACGUGCCAGCAGCCGCGGGAAUACGUAGGUGGCGAGCGUUGUCCGGAAUUACUGGGCGUAAAGGGCGCGUAGGCGGCCUGUUAAGUCAGAUGUGAAAACCCCAGGCGCAACCUGGGGACUGCAUAUGAAACUGAUGGGCUAGAGUGUCGGAGAGGGAAGCGGAAUUCCUAGUGUAGCGGUGAAAUGCGUAGAUAUUAGGAGGAACACCAGUGGCGAAGGCGGCUUUCUGGACGAUAACUGACGCUGAGGCGCGAAAGCGUGGGGAGCAAAC
rnacentral:rRNA from 1 species